rnacentral:SRP_RNA from 1 species
GCUGGGCAUGGUGGCUCAUGCCUGUAAUCCCAGCACUUUGGGAGGCUGAGGUGGGCGGAUCACCUGAGGUCAGGAGUUCGAGACCAGCCUGGCCAACAUAGUGAAACCCCAUCUCUA